rnacentral:lncRNA from 1 species
GUUCUAGCUAUAAAAUUCAUAAAAUACUUUAAUAAAAGCUCCAUAAAAUGUCAACACCCUGUCUGAGAUUCUGUCCCAUUUGAAAUGAAAACCAAGGCUAACAUAAACAAAUUACAAAGAAGUUAGUUUUUGAUAUAUAAAACCCAGUUUUUAGAAUAUGAUGCUAUUUUUGAUGAAAUAGUGAAAGAGAACAAAGCUGGAUUUGACUUGAUUCUCUUGAUGAUACAGUCAGAGUUUAUAAAUCUGUGUUGCUCCUGUGUCUGCACAGACAGAAUCUGGAGAUGUUAAUUUUUUGUCAUUUGGCUUCUAGAUGUCCUUGGCGUGUACACCCUGUGGAAUCUGGUUCAUCUUCAAUCUGUCAGAAGGCAUCAGAGGUGGUUUUGACUCCUUAUGUCUUGGACCUGUGCACAAAAAGUACGGGCAGGAGAGGAUGCAGGAGACUGUACAAAGUUCAAGAAACGAUAUGCUUUAAUCAAGGUAUUUUACUGAUGAAUUUGGAAGCCUGAAUUAAGGACUCAUUUAUUCAAAACACUACUUCUCAGGAGAGUUUUAUAUUUUUUCUUCCUUUUAUUUGUUUCUCUUUUCUGUUUUUUUAUAUCAAAUAAUUUUUCUUUUAUAACUUAUAUUUUUCUUGUAAGCCACUAUAAGUUCCUUUUGGAAAGACAUGGUCUACAAAUCAAUCUAUAUAAUAUUUUAUUAUUGAACUAUAAAAGAAUUACUGUCCCUAGAUGUCCAUCAUCAAGAAACUGGAAAUAUAGGCUGGGCGCGGUGGCUCAUCCUUGUAAUUCCAGCACUUUGGGAGGCUGAGGUGGAUGGAUCACUUGAGGUCAGGAGUUCAAGACCAGCUGGCCAACAUGGUGAAACUCCAUCUCUAUUAAAAAUAGAAAAUUAGCCGAGUGUGGUGGUGCGUGCCUAUAAUCCCAGCUACUCGGGAAGCUGAGGCAGGAGAAUCGCUUGAACCUGGGAGGCAGAGGUUGCAGUGAGCCGAGAUCGCACCACUGCACUCCAGCCUGGGUGACAGAGCGAGACUCUGUCUCAAAAAUAAAUAAAUAAAUAAAUAAAAUAAAAAAGAGAAAUUGGAAAAACAAGCCUUGGUACAAAUGCUGUACUAACUGUUAAAAAUAUAUUUUAAUUGACUUGGAAAGAUGUUUGUGAAUUUUUUAUGAGAGAAAGAGCAGGUCACAUAGUACUGUGCAUAUUGACAUGAUUUUAAUAUAGGACUGUUUAUGUCCAUCUGUCUAUCCGCGGAGGCGGGCGGAUCACGAGGCCCCUUCCAUAUAUGCCCAUAUUUAUAUAUGUCUAUAAAGAGGUCUGGAAGGGAAUUUGGCAAACAGUGACAAUCUAUGG